rnacentral:rRNA from 1 species
CCUACGGGUGGCAGCAGUGGGGAAUAUUGCGCAAUGGGCGAAAGCCUGACGCAGCGACGUCGCGUGCGGGAUGAAGGUCUUCGGAUCGUUAACCUGUGUCAGCAGGGAAGUACGGUCACUGUGCUAAUCAGCAGUGAAUUUACGGUACCUGCAAAGGAAGCACCGGCUAACUCCGGGCCAGCAGCCGCGGUAAUACGGAGGGUGCGAGUGUUAUUCGGAAUUAUUGGGGGGAAAGGGGUCGUCGGCGGUAUGUCAAAGCAAGGGUGAAAUCGCCGGGCUCAACGCGGGACGUGCCGUGGAAACUGGUGAACUGGAGUGUGUGAGAGGAAAGUGGAAUGCGAGGGGUAGGGGUGAAAUGCGUAGAUA